AAUUCGAUUUCCUGCUUUCGUUUUAGACCCGUCUAUAAUUGGUCCCACUUUACGUCUGUUAUUAACAGACACCAAUUAUAUAUACAUGACUGGAUGACUCGUACUUAACUGUGUAAAAUAAUAUUUAAAUCACAGGGCAUAUGGUCACGUAUUUUAACCGCGUAUAUAUUAAUAGUUAAGUGUUAUAUCCUGUCAUCGAACGCCUACUUGAAUGAAUGUGGUAAUUUAACUAGAUCUGAGACAUCAGAUGACAUUGACUGAAGAGAAUUCUUCACUUCUGAUACAUCAUUCCCAUCAUCGUAUCAUGCUUAAAGGAAGAUGUAACCCUGUCUGUAUAAAUCUUUGAUGAAUUACUGUAAACUAUUUCUUCUGAACUGGGAUUUAUAGGAAUAUUUCUCAGCUUCACUGUGUGGAAUGUGUUGAAGAUGGUUCUGUAUUCUAAUUAAGCUUGGAAAAAUCUACACACAGGAGUUCACAGCACCUUUGGAUAGCAACAAAUGUCUUGUUUGAUGAAAUUAUUUCUCUGCAACAAUUUCAGAGAAAUUUUCAUUAUAAUUAAAAUAUAAAAAUGAAAGAAGUAAAAACACUUUUAAUGUCCAUGUUUUCUGGUGAUUGUGGAAGAAUCGUAGGAAUUAAUUUUGUAAGAAGCUGAGAAGAUAGAUAUUAUUUGAGAGAUGCCAAGAGUGACAGGAAAAUCAUAUGAGUUUGACAUAUUUGAAAAGUCCUCCCAAGAAUGCAAUCUCAAAGACAUUCAUACUGGAGAGAAGCCAUAUCAUUGUGAUGUCUGUGGCAAAUGCUUUCCUAAAAGUGAUGCCUUAACAAGACAUGUACGUAUUCAUACAGGAGAGAAACCAUAUCCCUGUGAUGUCUGUGGUAAAUCAUUCUCUAUAAGUGGUGCUUUAAGAAGACACAAUCGCACUCAUACAGGGGACAAACCAUAUCACUGUGAUAUCUGUGGAAGGACAUUCUCCCAAACAGAUUUCUUAACAAGACACAAACGUAUUCAUUCAGGAGAAAAGCCAUAUCAGUGUGAUAUUUGUGGUAAAUCCUUCUCUCACAGCAGCACUGUACCAAGACACAAACGUACUCAUACAGGAGAGAAACCAUAUCACUGUAAUAUCUGUGGCAGAACCUUUUCCCAAAGUGGUUUCUUAACAAGGCACAAAUGCAUUCCUAAAGGAUAGAAGCCAUAUCACUGUGAUGUCUUUGGCACAAACACAUUUAUACAGGCAAGAAACCACGUUGAUGCAAAAUUCGUGUUCUGUCAUUUUCUUGUAGUGAUGAUUUAGCUAAAUACAAGCUUUUUCAUGUAGGAAAAUAUCUUCAGCAGAGUAAUUAGUAAUUGUUAUCAAAACAGGAGAUUGGAACAUUUUUUUGGUAUUAGUUUCAAAGUAAGCACCUCCACUGCAUUUUUUCUUUAAUUUCUUUUUCAGAUUUCUUUUAUAAACAUGAUUAUGAUUACUUUAAAGAAGUGUUGAUAAAGUAAUAUAACAGAUAUUUAUAAAAUUCACAAUUACAUGAAAAGUUAAGUUUUAAAUAAAGUUAUAUCAACAAAAAUAUAUUCAGUUAAAGGAUUUUCUCUCAAAUUUUAUAUCUUUGAAAAUUCCUCGUUUAGCCAUUAAGAUGGCUGCAGGCUCCCUAUUUUCCACUCAGCUAAUGUCUAAAUCAUAGGGGCCACUCAUUUUACAACUUCUUCUUGCUUUUAUCCACCUGUGGACCUGGAUAGAACCUGACCCCUAAGGGCCUAAACUGAACCCUCUGUCAAACAAAUGAACCGUCUCUCUCCUACAUAGACUUACUUCUCCAGAUGUCAGUUGAAACAUACAAACAUUUCUCUGAAUCGAUGCAUCUUACUGUUACUCUCCCAGAAUGGUACCAAUCACUUUCGUCUAUGAUGUGUGUUAACACCCAUAACAGUGACAUCCGUUCCUCAAUGCAAACACUACUCUCGUGUCCCAGGUCAAUCAUGCUGUCUCUCAGCAGCUCCAUCCUCCACAGCAAACACCCCAAUACCAAAACAGAGUAAAACAACAAGAGGUGUUAUCUUUGCCAGAGUGAGUGUGUGAUUUAAAAAUAAAAUUGUGAUGAGUAGCCAUUCAGUUUGACCA